rnacentral:rRNA from 1 species
CAACAGGGAUUGCCUUAAUUAACUGCGAGUGAAGCGGCAAAAGCUCAAAUUUGAAAUCUGACGUUUUUGACGUUCGAGUUGUAAUUUGGAGGGAUAUCUUCGGAGCUGGCACCGUCCUAAGUUCUUUGGAACCGGACAUCAUAGAGGGUGAGAAUCCCGUGCCUGGAUGGCUGUCAAGCUCCAUGUGAAGUGUCUCCGACGAGUCGAGUUGUUUGGGAAUGCAGCUCAAAAUGGGUGGUAAAUUUCAUCUAAAGCUAAAUAUUGGCGAGAGACCGAUAGCGCACAAGUAGAGUGAUCGAAAGAUGAAAAGCACUUUGAAAAGAGAGUUAAAUAGUACGUGAAAUUGUUGAAAGGGAAGCGCUUGAGACUAGAUUCGGCCGGUGGUGAUCAGCCAUGCUUUUGCGUGGUGCACUUGCCGUCGGUUGAGCCAGCAUCGGUUCUGAUGGUGGGAUAAAGGUUCGAGGAAUGUGGCUCCCCAAUUGCGGGGAGUGUUAUAGCCUGGAGCGCAAUGCCACCUGUUGGGACCGAGGACCGCGCUUCGGCUAGGAUGCUGGCGAAAAGGUCU